rnacentral:rRNA from 1 species
GAUGAACGCUAGCUACAGGCUUAACACAUGCAAGUCGAGGGGUAACGAGAGGAAAGCUUGCUUUCCUUGUCGACGACCGGCGCACGGGUGAGUAACGCGUAUCCAACCUGCCCCCAACUAGGGAAUAACCUUGCGAAAGUAAGACUAAUACCCUAUAAUUUCCUCAGAUGUCAUCUGACGAGGAAUAAAGAUUUAUCGGUUGUGGAUGGGGAUGCGUCUGAUUAGCUUGUUGGCGGGGUAACGGCCCACCAAGGCAACGAUCAGUAGGGGUUCUGAGAGGAAGGUCCCCCACAUUGGAACUGAGACACGGUCCAAACUCCUACGGGAGGCAGCAGUGAGGAAUAUUGGUCAAUGGGCGGAAGCCUGAACCAGUCAAGUAGCGUGCAGGAUGACGGCCCUAUGGGUUGUAAACUGCUUUUAUACAGGAAUAAAGUUAGCCACGUGUGGUUAUUUGUAGGUACUGUAUGAAUAAGGACCGGCUAAUUCCGUGCCAGCAGCCGCAGUAAUAC